CCUACGGGGGGCAGCAGUGGGGAAUAUUGCACAAUGGGCGCAAGCCUGAUGCAGCCAUGCCGCGUGUGUGAAGAAGGCCUUCGGGUUGUAAAGCACUUUCAGCGGGGAGGAAGGCGUUAAGGUUAAUAACCUUGUCGAUUGACGUUACCCGCAGAAGAAGCACCGGCUAACUCCGUGCCAGCAGCCGCGGUAAUACGGAGGGUGCAAGCGUCAAUCGGAAUUACUGGGCGUAAAGCGCACGCAGGCGGUCUGUCAAGUCGGAUGUGAAAUCCCCGGGCUCAACCUGGGAACUGCAUUCGAAACUGGCAGGCUAGAGUCUUGUAGAGGGGGGUAGAAUUCCAGGUGUAGCGGUGAAAUGCGUAGAGAUCUGGAGGAAUACCGGUGGCGAAGGCGGCCCCCUGGACAAAGACUGACGCUCAGGUGCGAAAGCGUGGGGAGCAAACAGGAUUAGAUACCCCAGUAGUC
rnacentral:rRNA from 1 species